CAGUAGCCACGGUAAUACGGAGGGAGCUAGCGUUGUUCGGAAUUACAGGGCGUAAAGCGCACGUAGGCGGCUUUGUAAGUUAGAGGUGAAAGCCUGGAGCUCAACUCCAGAAUUGCCUUUAAGACUGCAUCGCUUGAACACGGGAGAGGUGAGUGGAAUUCCGAGUGUAGAGGUGAAAUUCGUAGAUAUUCGGAAGAACACCAGUGGCGAAGGCGGCUCACUGGCCCGUUGUUGACGCUGAGGUGCGAAAGCGUGGGGAGCAAACAGGAUUAGAGACCCCCGUAGUCCCUGUCUCUUAUAU
rnacentral:rRNA from 1 species